rnacentral:rRNA from 1 species
AUGAUCAGGAGACCAUCUGGUCAGACUCCACCCAAGAUUCGCGGAAGCCCAAGAUGGUAUCCAUACUUCAAGGACUGCAUUGGGGCAAUAGAUGGUACUCAUGUCACUUCCAGAGUUCCUAGGUCACAGUCUGCAGCAUACAGGGGGAGGAAGCACUACACAAGCCAGAAUGUGCUUGCUGUUGUUGACUUUGAUCUGGAGUUCACAUAUGUGCUGGCUGGCUGGGAGGGGUCAACGCAUGAUGCUAACAUUCUCACUGACAACAUGAGUCGACCUGAUGGGAUCAACAUCCCCGACGGCAAGUUCUACCUUGGAGAUGCUGGCUAUGCAUGUCGGCCGGGUAUUUUUCCACCCUUCAGAAAAACAAGGUACCAUCUCAACGAGUUCUAUGGUAGGAACUUUCCUAGGACUGCACAGGAGUUGUUUAAUCUCAGACACUCCAGCCUUAGAGUAACUGUUGAGAGGGCAUUUGGAGCUCUGAAGAAUAGGUUUAAGAUCCUGGAUCAGAAGCCAUUCCACCCAUACCCCACUCAAGCUGCAUUCUGCAUAACUGGAUCCUCCAGUGGGGCUUUGAUGAACACGUGCCUGAGGAGGAAGAGGUCGAGCCUGACGAUGUUGUUAGCUCUGGCCAUGGUGUGGAGGCAUUUGACAAUGACGCUUGGAAGAACAAAAAGUUGGAGUGGGCAGAGGCAAUGUGGCUUAACAGAGGUCAGUGCAGGAUUUGAAGAAGAGGAAGAAGCAGCAGCAGCAGCAGAAGCACAGAAGAAGAGGAAGAAGAAGCAGCAGCAGCAGCAGAAGCAAAAGAGGAAGAUGAAGCAGCAACACCGAUGA